GGUACCGUCAGUACAUGGCGGUAUUAUCACCAUGUAGGUUCUUCCCACUUGACAGAGCUUUACGACCCGAAAGCCUUCAUCACUCACGCGGCGUUGCUGCGUCAGGGUUUCCCCCCAUUGCGCAAAAUUCCUC
rnacentral:rRNA from 1 species